rnacentral:lncRNA from 1 species
GCUAGAUUACUCCAGAAGGGACGAUAUAUUCUAUUUCUAGCAUCCCUUGGUUUAUAAGUUGAAGAAUAUUCCAUUGGAAAGAAAAUAAUUAUGGGAUUGGUCUGGAUGAAAACUGGCUUCUGAUAACACGCCAAGCUUGGCAUCUGACCGAAGUAUGUAGAAGUAGAAGACUUUUUCAAGUUACUGUAUAGGAUUGCCAAGGCGUUUAUACAGCUGGAAAGCCUUGUUAAUUGUUUGUUAUUUGCGUAGAUAAGUAGGACAGACAAACACCAAGUAACGUAUCUUGAAUGUUUCAGUGUUGGCAUGUAGGAAAAUUUCUUUUCCAGACACGAACCUUUGACGGCCGCAUUUGGUGGUGGGAAAGAAAAUGAGAGGAAAAGUAACAAGAAAAAGGCUAGGUGGAUUAAAGACAAUGACCAUUUUGAGGAAAAAAAAAUGAUCAAUUCUCGCCGUAACUCUAUGAAGCCAAAUUGAUGAGGUUUGUACUUUUGAGAUACCAAAGUGGCCUCCAACUCCAACUCCAAUGUGAUUAAUCUUUUCUUUUCCAUUUUUUUUUUCAAAUGUAAUUGUGAUAUGUAAACGACCCAUAGUUUUCCUAUAAAUUCGGUGUGUAAGUAAUUUCUUGAACUUGUCAUUUGAUCUUCGAGAGAUCCAUAUAUCUGAUUAAUCUCUAAAUUAACAAAUUAUAAAACAUAUUUGGCACUAACAGAAUUGACUUUAACAGUGGGGGGAAGGGGGGUUUUGGAAUUAAUUUCAUAGUAGCUAUGUUGGUAGGGUAUCUAACAUGUGACAAAGGGUUGCAGAAAAAAUACGGGUAUUAUCAUAUCACCAUGAUUAUGAGCCAUCGAUCAUGCCGACAUGUGCAUUAAAAGCAUUAAACCACAUGGGAUCGAUGAUAGUUAGCGAUUUGAAGUUUCAACUAUGAACCAUCUCCCCUAACAUGGGUUGGUUUUCUUGAUUCUGAACACCACCAUGGUAACUGCCUACCUCUUGGCUCUUGCCUGCUGUUUCUUCGCUGUUCACACGGCAAAACCUUUCCCCAGUUAUUAGCUCACUCCGUUAUGGUAUAUAAAAAUAUAAAAAAAUACCUCAUACGUUUAUUUUAUAUACUCUCUUUUAUUGACUAUAAUAUUCAGCAGCAACAAAAUUCAUUCACAUCCAAAACAUA